AGCAGUCGCCGCGGGAAUACGGAGGGAGCUAGCGUUGUUCGGAAUCACUGGGCGUAAAGCGCACGUAGGCGGCUAUUCAAGUCAGGGGUGAAAGCCCGGGGCUCAACCCCGGAACUGCCUUUGAAACUAGAUAGCUUGAAUCUUGGAGAGGCGAGUGGAAUUCCGAGUGUAGAGGUGAAAUUCGUAGAUAUUCGGAAGAACACCAGUGGCGAAGGCGACACACUGGCCCAUUACUGACGCUGAGGCUCGAAAGCGUGGGGAGCAAACAGGAUUAGAUACCCGGGUAGUCCCUGUCUCUUAUAC
rnacentral:rRNA from 1 species